rnacentral:misc_RNA from 1 species
GGUACACCCAGUAAAAAGUUAUUGCGGAUUUUCAAGAAUUUCCAUCAAUUUCUCUGGGAUUCCAUCAUCAGAUCCUAGUUUCCUUAUCAUAGUACUAAACUAGGGAUGUCUUCUUUCCAACAAAAAAAUAAUUAUCAAAAUCGGUACAUCCAGUAGAAAGUUAUGCGGUAUAAUACAACGUAGGUCGACGAAAAAAGCGUCAAGUAAAAACGCAUU